GAUCAAGCUACAAAGGGUUUAUAAUGGAUGACUUGGCAGACACAGGCGAUGAAGGACGUGGUAAGCUGCGAUAAGCUUCGGGGAGCCGCAAAUAGGCUUUGAUCCGGAGAUCUCCGAAUGGGACAACCCAACUGGACUCAUAUCCAGUUAUUUUACGCUGAAUCCAUAGGCGUAAAAAGCUAAACGAGGCGAAUUGAAACAUCUAAGUAGCCUCAGGAAAAGAAACCGAAUGGGAUUCUCUUAGUAGCGGCGAGCGAAGAGAGAACAGGCUAAACCAGCAGGCUUGCCUGCUGGGGUUGCGGGACUUCAAUGUGGUAUGCAAUGAGAUAGCAGAGGUGUUUGAAAAAACACGCCAUAGAGUGUGAGAGCCACGUAUGCGAAAUCUCAAAGCGGCCUAGAAGGAUCCCAAGUACUGCCGGGCACGGGAAAUCUGGCAGGAAUCUGGCCCGACCAUGGGCUAAGCCUAAAUACUCCGUCUGACCGAAAGUGGACAAGUACCGUGAGGGAAAGUUGAAAAGAACCCCGGGAGGGGAGUGAAAUAGAACCUGAAAUUAUAAACCUACAAGCUGUCGAAGGCCUAUGUUUGCCGCAAGGCAAAAAUGGCUAACGGCGUACCUUUUGCAUAAUGGACCAACGAGUUAUUAUGUGUUGCAAGCUUAAGUCCCUUCUGGGACGCAGGCGCAGGGAAACCGAGUCUGAAUAGGGCGACCAAGUAGCACAUAAUAGACCCGAAACCACGUGAUCUAUCCAUGGCCAGGUUGAAGCUUCGUGAAAACGAAGUGGAGGACCGAACCCAUUAUCGUUGAAAAGAUUCGGGAUGAGCUGUGGAUCGGAGUGAAAGGCUAGUCAAACGUGGCAAUUGCUGGUUCUCCCCGAAAUAGUUCUAGGACUAGCUUCGAGGAAUUACUAAGCGGGGGUAGAGUUACUGAAUAGGCUAGGGGCCUUACCAGGCCGCCAAACCUAACCAAACUCCAAAUACCGCUUACUGUAUCUCGGAAGUCAGAGUGAGAGGGCUAAGCUUCUUGCUCGAGAGGGAAACAGCCCAGACCAUCGAUUAAGGUCCCUAAUAUAAGCUAAGUGGUAAAGGAAGUGAGAUCACACAGACAGCCAGGAUGUUGGCUUAGAGGCAGCCAUCAUUUAAAGAGUGCGUAACAGCUCACUGGUCGAGUGAUCUCGCGCCGAAAAUGAUCGGGGCUCAAGCUUAUAACCGAAGUCAUGGCUUCGUUUGUCUUCGGAUAAACGAGGGGUAGGGGAGCGUAGUGCUAAGCGUUGAAGGCAUACCGAGAGGAAUGCUGGAGUAAGCACUAGUGAUACUGUUGGUAUGAGUAGCGAAAACUACAGCGAGAAACUGUAGCACCGAAAAUCUAAGGUUUCCUGGGGAAGGUUAAUCCGCCCAGGGUUAGUCGAUCCUAAGGUGAGGCCGAAAGGCGUAAUCGAUGGAGGUCAGGUUAAUAUUCCUGAACCGACUACGAACGUUAUCACCUUGAUGUGACGCAGGAGGCUAGGCCAUGCGCAGUGUUGGAUGUCUGCGUCCAAAGCCGUAGCUCCGUCGCAAGACGGGGUAAGAGCUGACGGGGACCUCAAUCGCAAGUGCGAGGGAAGUGGCGAAUGCCAGGCUGCCGAGAAAAACCAUCAAGGGAGUCUCGUGGUCGAUCGUACCGGAAUCCGACACAGGUAGAUAGGCAGAAUAUGCCAAGGUGCUCGAGAGAAUCCUCCUUAAGGAACUAGGCAAAAUCACCCCGUAACUUCGGGAGAAGGGGUGCCAAAUGGGUGUAGGACAUCACGUCCGAAGCCCGAAUGGUCACAGUAAAGAGGCCCGGGUGACUGUUUAGUAAAAACACAUCACUCUGCUAACUCGAAAGAGAACGUAUAGGGUGUGACACCUGCCCGGUGCUGGAAGGUUAAGGGGAGAGGUCAUUUGCCGCAAGGCAGAGAAGCUUCGAACUGAAGCCCCAGUAAACGGCGGCCGUAACUAUAACGGUCCUAAGGUAGCGAAAUUCCUUGUGGGGUAAGUUCCCACGCGCACGAAUGGUGUAACAACUUGGGCGCUGUCUCGAGGAGGAACUCGGCGAAAUUGUAGCGGCGGUGAAGAUGCCGUCUACCCGCACCAAGACGAAAAGACCCCAGAACCUUUACUGCAUUCUGGUAUUGGAUUUGGAUUUUGACUGUGUAGCAUAGCUGGGAGGCUUUGAAGCUCCGGCGUUAGCCGGGGUGGAGCCAUCAGUGAAAUACCAGCCUGUUGAUAUCUAGAUUCUAACUCUGCUCUGUGAAACCAGACAGGAAACAGUGCCAGAUGGGCAGUUUGACUGGGGCGGUUCCCUUCUAAAGAAUAACGAAGGGGUCCAAAGGUUCCCUCAGGACGGUCGGCAAUCGUCUGUAGAGUGCAAAGGCAUAAGGGAGCCUGACUGCGAGUCCGACAGGACGAGCAGGCACGAAAGUGGGGCUUAGUGAUCCGGUGGUUGAAUGUGGGAUUGCCAUCGCUCAACGAACAAUAGGUACUCUGGGGAUAACAGGCUGAUCGCGCUCGAGAGUUCAUAUCGACAGCGCGGAUUGGCACCUCGAUGUCGGCUCAUCCUAUCCUGGGGCUGUAUAAGGUCCCAAGGGUCCGGCUGUUCGCCGGUUAAAAGGGUACGUGAGCUGGGUUUAGAACGUCGUGAGACAGUUCGGUCUCUAUCUGGUGUGGGCGCACGAUCAUUGAAGAGAAGAUCUCCUUAGUACGAGAGGACCGGGAGAUACGAACCUCUGGUGUUCCAGUUAUCCUGCCAAGGGUAAUGGCUGGGUAGCCAUGUUCGGAAGGGAUAAGCGCUGAAUGCAUAUAAGCGCGAAGCCUAUCUCAAGAUGAAUGAUCGAUCCCCCGCAAGGGGGUGAAGGCACGUUGUAGACUACGACGUUGAUAGGCCGUAUGUGUAAGGUCCGUAAGGAUUUUAGCUAAACGGUACUAAUCUGCCAAAUGCUUGAUCAU
rnacentral:rRNA from 1 species